UCUACGGGAGGCAGCAGUAGGGAAUAUUGGACAAUGGGCGCAAGCCUGAUCCAGCCAUGCCGCGUGAGUGAUGAAGGCCUUAGGGUUGUAAAGCUCUUUUGUCCGGGAAGAUAAUGACUGUACCGGAAGAAUAAGCCCCGGCUAACUUCGUGCCAGCAGCCGCGGUAAUACGAAGGGGGCUAGCGUUGCUCGGAAUCACUGGGCGUAAAGGGCGCGUAGGCGGACUCUUAAGUCGGGGGUGAAAGCCCAGGGCUCAACCCUGGAAUUGCCUUCGAUACUGGGAGUCUUGAGUUCGGAAGAGGUUGGUGGAACUGCGAGUGUAGAGGUGAAAUUCGUAGAUAUUCGCAAGAACACCAGUGGCGAAGGCGGCCAACUGGUCCGAUACUGACGCUGAGGCGCGAAAGCGUGGGGAGCAAACAGGAUUAGAUACCCUGGUAGUUCACGCCGUAAACGAUGAAUGCCAGCCGUUGGGGAGCUUGCUCUUCAGUGGCGCAGCUAACGCUUUAAGCAUUCCGCCUGGGGAGUACGGUCGCAAGAUUAAAACUCAAAGGAAUUGACGGA
rnacentral:rRNA from 1 species